rnacentral:rRNA from 1 species
AGCAGCCGCGGUAAUUCCAGCUCCAAUAGCGUAUAUUAAAGUUGUUGCAGUUAAAAAGCUCGUAGUUGAAUUUCGGGGUUAGUAGGUUGGUCAUGCCUCUGGUAUGUACUGGUCUCACUGAUUCCUCCUUCCUGGUGAGCCGUAAUGCCAUUAAUUUGGUGUUGCGGGGAAUUUGGACUGUUACUUUGAAAAAAUUAGAGUGUUUAAAGCAAGCUAACGCUUGAAUACAUUAGCAUGGAAUAAUGAAAUAGGACGUUCGAUCCUAUUUUGUUGGUUUCUAGGAUUGACGUAAUGAUUAAUAGGGAUAGUUGGGGGCAUUAGUAUUCAAUUGUCAGAGGUGAAAUUCUUGGAUUUAUUGAAGACUAACUACUGCGAAAGCAUUUGCCAAGGAUGUUUUCAUUAAUCAAGAACGAAAGUUAGGGGAUCGAAGACGAUCAGAUACCGUCGUAGUCUUAACCAUAAACUAUGCCGACUAGGGAUCGGAUGAUGUAAUUUUUAAUGACUCAUUCGGCGCCUUAAC